CAAGAGGUUUGGCGAAGUUUAGCCGCUAGCAAGACAUCUCGUUAGCGAUGUUAGCAAGCUUAUAACACGCUUGGACAUUGAUCCUUGGACGCCUUGACUUGUGCUCGCUGGUUCAGUACUCUAGACCUGUAGGCCGCAAGGUGAACCAUGAAAAGUCAUUUAGAAAAUGAAUCCCACUCCACAGGCGUGCAUCUACACAAUAUUUAGUUCAUAAAAAAGAAAAGAGUCGUGCUUAGCUACCAAAAAAAAGUUUGUCGCUGACUUUCCAGUCGAUUUUUGGUGCGUCUAUGUUUUAUGCCGAACUAGUUUCUUCAGAGCGUAAUAGGAUCUUGGUCGCGAGUGCCGGCACGUUUCGACACGUGAUCAUGCUACACCAAUAAGAUAGCUGCUUUUUGUCAACAGAGUUGCAAGAUGGCGUCCACCAUGCCUUCAUCGAGCAGUACGGAAGACGAAGAAAAUACACCGGAAUGUCUUAAUAAAUCAAAAAACAAACAUUGUUUUAUGCAUAUUACUUCAGUCAAGCACGAGGAGGUACAUUAUUUCACCACUACACGAUGGAAUACAUACAGGACAAGCCUACAAACGUGGCUCGGGUUGGAGGGUGGAGGGCUCUGGCCCCGUUCUUCCUGCCCUGUGCAUAAUUUGCCAAAAAAAGGAGAAGUUCAUUAACCGAGCAGGCAAACGACAAAGGCUGAAACAUUAACAGCAGGUAAACACACACACACACACACACACUGUGGUUGAGUGACUGAAAGGUACAAUUAUGUGUGAGAUAUGUCAACAAACUCAUUGAGUUAUCCUUUUUGUUUUGUUGAGGCCAAUUGCAGAAAGCUGCCGAGUUGAAGGAUGACCAAAGUAUUCUUUUGCAUAUAAAAGACAAAGACUGUGUGGCUCUGGAGGUGCAGUACCACAAAGGCUGUUAUAAUCAGUACAACCAGGUUUUUGACGAGGCCUGCAAAACCAGAGAAAGAACAGAAUGAGCCCACGUUUGAUGUCAGCUAUAAGUUAUUCCGUGAGAGGAUCAUUCGCCAAAGGCUGCUUGUCAACCAAGAGGUGCAGAGAAUGGGCCAGCUGAGGAAGGCCUUCAUUGAACUGGUGAAAGCAAAUGAAGAUCUUGAUGCUUCAAACUACAGACAGGAUAUGUUGAAGAAGAGGCUGACUCGUGAUUUCCCCCAUCAGUAUCCAAAACCUAGAACAGUCAUGUAUAGAGCUGAUGCAGGGUCACAACGCAUGCAAAUAUUUGGCCCGGAUCAGAGGACCCCAACCCAAUGGAAAAAGUUUCUCUCAGAAGGAACAAAUAAGGAAGCACUUGCCGAAUUCCUGUAUGUUGUAUGGAAAAAUGCAGACCUUACAAUAGUGGGCAAAAACCUCUGCUUGCACAUACAAAUCAAUGUCACUGUGUGACUGUUAAGGAGGGUGUACAGUCUGUUUGUGUUGUUGAAGACCUGCAGUGUGAUCAUGAAGAAUGUGACACAAGGGUGUUUUUACAUGCACAACAUGCUGCACGGGAGCAUAAAGCUGUCAUUAUCAAGAGCUCUGACACUGAUGUGGCAGUCAUUGCUGUAAGUGUGCAGACAGAUUUGCCAUGCAGUUUUUAUGUUUUCACAGGGACUGGCAACAGGACACGUAUCAUUGACAUUACCAAGGUGUCAUCAGCUCUCGGAACCAGUGUGUGUUCAGCCUUAAUCGGAAUUCACACAUUCUCUGGGUGUGACUCCACAAGUGCCUUUUAUAAGCCUGGAUACCAGACCGAACUUAGC
ensembl:lncRNA